GUUUCUUUGUAAAACAUACAAUCAAAUUGCAACAAUACAGACAGUAUUAGCAUGGCUCUUGCACAUGGAUGACACCCACAAAAAAUUCAUGUCUUUUU